rnacentral:rRNA from 1 species
GACGUAGGGGGCAAGCGUUGUUCGGAAUUAUUGGGCGUAAAGCGCUCGUAGGCGGGACUGGAAGUCCGUGUUGAAAGACCUCGGCUCAACUGAGGGACCGGCUCGGAUACUCUAGUUCUUGAGGCAAUCAGAGGGUGAUGGAAUUCCUGGUGUAGCGGUGAAAUGCGUAGAUAUCAGGAGGAAUACCGGUGGUGUAGACGGCUCUCUGGACCGCCACUGACGCUGAGACACGAAAGCGUGGGUAGCAAACAGG